UACGGGGGAUGCAAGCGUUAUCCGGAAUUAUUGGGCGUAAAGCGUCUGUAGGCUGUUUAUAAUAGUCCUCUGUUAAAUCCUAGGGCUUAACCCUAGAAAAGCGGUGGAAUACUAAUGAACUAGAGUAUGGCAGGGGUAGAGGGAAUUUCUAGUGAAGCGGUGGAAUGCGUAGAUAUUAGAAAGAACACCAGUGGCGAAGGCGCUCUACUGGACCAAAACUGACGCUGAGAGACGAAAGCUAGGGUAGCAAAGGGG
rnacentral:rRNA from 1 species